AUCGCUUCUCGGCCUUUUGGCUAAGAUCAAUUGUAGUAUCUGUUUUUAUCAGUUUAAUAUCUGAUACGUCCUCGAUGAGAAUAUUGUGUUCAAAAAACGGGUU
rnacentral:snRNA from 1 species